rnacentral:rRNA from 1 species
CCUACGGGCGGCAGCAGUGGGGAAUAUUGCGCAAUGGGCGCUAGCCUGACGCAGCGACGCCGCGUGAGGGAUGACGGCCUUCGGAUUGUAAACCUCUGUCAGCAGGGAAGAACGGUCACUGUGCUAAUCAGCAGUGAAUUGACGGUACCUGCAAAGGAAGCACCGGCCAACUCCGUGCCAGCAGCCGCGGUAAUACGGAGGGUGCGAGCGUUAAUCGGAAUUACUGGGCGUAAAGGGCUCGUAGGCGGUAUGUCAAGUCAAGGGUGAAAUCCCCGCGCUCAACGUGGGAACUGCCGUUGAAACUGGCAAGCUGGAGUGUGUGAGAGGAUAGUGGAAUUCCAGGUGUAGGGGUGAAAUGCGUAGAUAUCUGGAGGAACAUCAGUGGCGAAGGCGACUAUCUGGCACAUAACUGACGCUGAGGAGCGAAAGCGUGGGUAGCAAACAGGAUUAGAUACCCGAGUAGUC